UGGCCUUCACACCAAAGGUCUGCAUGUCAGAAGUCACUUGGUUUCCCUCUAAAAGGGUGAUGUCUUUUCAACCUUCUGAUCAGGCUUAUCUGAAAUGCAGCCAUCACGUGCACCCAAACUCGAGUAUCCUUCUAAAUCUUGAAAAACACACGAGCUUGCAUUACCAUGUAACUUCUGUAUAGAUUCAUUGGCAAAACACCAUCUGGAAACACUGAAUUAUUGAUCUUCUGCAAGACAAGUUUGUGUUGCCUCUGGGCAAAUCAGCUGUACUAUUGGGCAUGAUAAUCAUUCCCUUGUCAAACAAACUCUGGCAAACUAUUUAGUGUUCAGCUAGUUAUUUCACAUCUCUUACCCCAGUAGAGAGCAUUACUGUUUCAACUAAUCAUUAAGUAGGCAACAAAGUAUGAGUCAAAACUGUGAGGGUGCAUACUCCAGUGUGCAGAUCCACCAACGGGAUACAAGCAAUGCUACAAUAAACUGAGUUGAACUUUCUUGGCUUUUAAUUCUGAGGCACGGAAGUUGUCCUUCAUGUAGCUUAGAGUUGCAAAAUUCUGUUGUGGUCUACAGGUUAGGUUUUUAUAGAACUUUUGUUUCAGAUCUCUCAGAAGUGACCAAAUACUUGGAGAAAAAAAAAUUGCUUGAAAGGUAACUUUUCAGCUGAAGCAUCUGUAUAAAUGCGGAGGGUGUUGGAUAUUCAGAUAACUUACAUGCUUUCAAAAACUCAGGACUUUUUUUUUUCUCAACUGCAACUGUAGCUUUAUCCUGUUUUUUUGUUGUUUUUUUUUCUCAAGCUUUAGUAUUGCCCAUCAGUAUCCUUCAUAUACUGUUUUGUCCCUAGAAACAAAACCAAAGUUGUCUUCAUGCUCCCAAGGGUUUUCUUGCACAUUGAGCUCAUGUAGGUAGUGUUUUGCUUGGAGAAUUCUAGCAACUUAGACUUGUUCUUUGUUUAAACUUCAUUUUGGUAGCUCUGUGGAGGCUAGUGUGAAACACAUUGACUGCUGCAAAUUAAACCCUCAACAGUCCUAUCAAACCUGGGUCGUACAUCAAGUUUCUGCUUAAGUUUCAGUGCAAGUAAUGUGCAUUCUGUUGCUCCUUAGUAAAAAAAAAAGAAACUUUGUUAUGGGUACAGAAAUGUAACUCUAAUACAGUCCUUUGUAAAAUUGAUUUUAAGCCCUUACAGGGAUACUUCCUUUGGAAUGAUUUAUUUUUUGCCCAAUUAGAAAUACAAAAGUUGACAGAAUUGAUGUAGAUUAUUCAGUAUGAGUGACCAGAUGUUUAACCAAAUUAAUGCUGUCUGGACAUACCUGUAAAGCAUUUUGUUGCAAGGCUCAGUAACUUACACAUUGACUGUGUAAAUCUGAAAUCUGGCAUAGGUAGUAAAUGUAUUAAAUUGAAAUUCAGAAUUAAUCAGUCCUUAGUUAGUGGUUCAGGAAAAUAUUUUAUUUGCUCCCACUUUUGAUAAAGACUUAGAACUGUAAGCGUGGGAUUGAAGGAAGAACAGGAACCAAGAGCUGUCUGCCUUCCAUUGCUUUUAAAGCAGUUUAUCACUUGUGUCUGUUGCCRUAAAGCAGUUGAGUAUUUUUACAGCCUCAAAUGAACAGUGUUAAUUCUUAUCCUUGAUAAUUAAAAAAACACAAUGAAGGAUCUUUGACUCUUAUCCAGAUCUAAUUCCCAACUAACUUAUUUUAAAUCUAAAUUAUCUUUCUGGAUAUUCCAUUUCAUGUGUUAUUUGACCAUGGCUGUAAUCUGUACCUUGUUACUGAAGGCAUUCAUGUUAAAUGUAGAGUUUUUAARAAAGGGCCUUACUGGUACAGAGUUGAGUUUAGCAAAAAUAUGAUAAUGUUUUUUACUUUUUUAAAAAAUGGUUAUUAUCAAAAGCAGAGCUGUGAAUUUUUAAUGAUCUGAUCUGGUAAAGUAGAUACUAUACAGGGAGAAAUACAAUUAAUAACUUCAUURUGUCACCCUAAACCAAACCAACAUUCAUUCUCAUCACUUCAGCAUAAGUGAGUACAGUCAGCACCUGCUUACCCAGCAUGGACUUAGUAAACUGGGCUUCUUCAGUCUGGGGCAUAAAGCUGUAGCAGGGACAUGUAUGUGGAAAUACACACCCAAAGCAGGUAUAAUAACUUUUCAAUCAAGUUAGAUUUAAAAUUGAUUAAUCAAGCUGAAUACAGUAUUUCACUAUAAUGAAACAGCCGUCAUUUAUUGUGAUUCAAUUUAAAUGGAUUUUCUUUGUAUGACUCUCUCUGUAUGUGAGCAUACUUUGCUGUAGCAUGUUGUGAGCAUAUUUCUGCUGUUUUGAACAUCUGUUUAGAAAGUGCCCUUCCAGAGGACCCUGUUCACUGCUGCACUUUGAAGAAAGAAAAAAUAAACUGCCUAUCAAACUUCCUAUUUUUGUACCUGAGCUUGAGUUAAACCUUCCUACAGAAAUAAGCUGAGUCACAUGUCUAAUGACUGAAUUCCUAUUUUAUAAGCCUUUAAAAGCCUCUGCGUUACUGCCCUGCUAUCUAACAAGGGUAUAACUUCAUAUAGCCACAGGGAACCUUAUUACAGAGUCCAGCAGGAGAACACCUGACUACUUUGCAGCAGGAAGAAACCCUGAGGGGAGGGGGCAAAUUGAAAUGCAACCCCUACUUGCUCUCAUUUCAUUGGAAACUGGGGUCAUUGAAGAGAUGGAAAACAAAAAGCACAAUGGAUUAAGACCAGUAAAUUCUGCCCAGGGUAAAGAGGAAGUAUAAAAUCCCACACAAGCCUUUUUCCAAAAUGGGAACUGUGACCAACAGUAAGAUGCAUGGUACUUCUCUCAAUCCCUGUGUAACAGAGUUGAAUUUCUUGGAUGAUUCUGUUUAAAAAUAUUACGUAACUUUCCUGACCUCCAGAAGGUGGCUUGGUAUACCUUUACCCUAUUCAAGUUUGAGGCUUUCAAAAGCUAUUAAAACAUGUAUUUCUGCAUUUUAGUUGCAUAUCUGUUUACAGUGUGGUAUCAGUUUCAUUUCUCCUUCAGCAAAGAGGUAGCAGUGUUUCAUUACGUAGACAAAAAUGUUUAAUGGCUGCCUGAAACAUGAUGUUCCAGCUUAUGAAAACUAUAAAGUUUACUGUAGCACCUCAAGAAAAGUCAGCUCUAUAUUACGUAAAUAGACAUUAAUAUCACUGACAGCCCAAGUGACACUACCAUGAGAGUCAUGGGAGCUUGCCAUAUCUCCUUGUCAUUAAUUUCUAAGAACAAGCCAUGUUUGUGAAGAGAACUGCUGCUACAAGGAAUCACCUGUUUUAGAAAAAGAUAUACACAGUGUUAAUACUUCAUUCAAGGGAUGGGGAAGGGGAAUUCCAUGAUUAGGAAGAAAGGGCAGUGCUAAUAUAUUGCUUUCCAGAUGCUGUUGUAGGAAGAUGCAGCUGUCAAUAAUUUGAUAAUGUCCACCAGAUUGGGUUUAAAGCUGUGGUCCAGUAAUUGCUUACACAUCUCAAAGUAGUCAGUGUCUGCUUUCUCAAGGUGAUGAAGUUGUUUGAACUUAUUCCAGCUGCCAAAAUCCACCUGUUUUCUAAGAAUUGGAGUAAGAGGGACUUCAUGGAACACAACUGAAUCACCCACUUUCUCAUUUUUCCUGUGCAAAUUCUAGGGAAAAGCCUGAUCCUUGAUUCUUGCUCAGCAAGAAUGACUUUGUAGAUACCUAUGGGUUGGCAGCAAAGGCAUCAAGGAUGAGACUAAUGAUUCAGGGGGAUAUUCUCAUGCUGUUGAUGAAAAUUAGUGAAAGYAUCAGCAGAGCUCCUGUGAUUUCUACAUUUCUGUCCUGAGGGUUCUGCCAUGUUUUCAGGUAACUAAAACAGGCAGUAGAUGAAAGGAAAACAUUACAAUGACUGAUGAAAUCAAGACAGUAAGCCUUCUCCUACAACGUGAAAAUCCUAAGCAAUUUGAUUUUGGGUUUGUUGGAGCUGUGGUGUUUUGCUUUGGUUUUGAACCACCAAGACUAUACCAAAAAUGUGUAAGUUUUACACUAGAGGACUAACUACGUUUUUUACUGGAUGCUUGCUUAGUGUUUUUCUCUUCUGCCUUUAAAGUGUUCAAAUUAACAAGGCAAAAACCUCAUAGAAGUAUUUCAAGUCUUUUGAAAUUGCAUAGUAACUUCAAAGGCUUCUUUGUAGAGUAUUAAAGAAAAAACACCAGCAGCAAUUAAGCCCCACCUUUAGAAAAUACUGCCCUCCUGCCUUUGGGCUGCUUCAGUCUCUGAAACAGCACAAUGCACAUGACCAAUCCUAGACCUCCUGUUCAACAAAACACACUUUUAGUGUAAAGUCUGUUAGCUUUCUGGAAACAUUUCUCUGAUAUGUCUUUCAUUUACAUAGAUUGAACUAAAGUAGAUACUGGAUUUUUUUAUGUGUGACCUCCAUUUUCACUCAGCCUUUUUAUAUUUAAAAAUGAGUGCUGUAAAUUGUUAACAGGUGCUUUUAAAGACUGUACAGGUUAUGCUGCCUUUCUGUGCCAGUAUUACUAAAACCCUACAGGUUCUGACUUCAAGUGCUCAUUAGACAAACCAGAGCCAAUAAAAAUAUAGAAGUGUCUAAUAUCUGCUCACUCACAUCUAUGGAAAAAUGUUAGGAGCAAAGAGGGCAGAUUCUGAAAGUAUCAGCUGACAAGUCUAGAUUAAAAGAACUGUCUAGGAUUAGUGGCAUACAGACAGCACCUGUUCAUCUGAAGGGAGAACUUCAGAGCUGAUGUUCUAAUACAACUUGCCCUGGGAAAAAAAAAAAAUAAAAGGCUGACCUUUGCUGACGUAAAAUAUACUGGCAUUCUAAUUCCUCCUGAGACAUGCUGGAAACAGCUGAAAAUUCUGAUCACAUACCAGAUUCUGUAUUUAAAGAGAGAAAUCUUAGACUUGUAAUGCUAUUUUCUCUCAUGCUAGUGCAAGGCCACAAUGCUAUAUUUAGGUUUACAGAGUUAGUGGAGGGGGUUUCACACUCUACUUCUCUCAUGGGUCUUUGUGGUAAAGUGAAGGCAAAACAGAACUACUCUAUCUGUUAUAUCCUGUCUUAUUCAUAUGGGAAACACACAAGGACAGAACCAAGACAGUAUUUUAUACAGCAUCGUGAAAAGUUAGACUUGGCAACACACAACAUUUGCAGGAUUAAUCCUUGGAUUUAAAAUACACUUCUCAAAACUCGAGUUGUGAACUCCCUUUCCAAAAGUUUUAGAGGGAGAGGUAGAGAACAGAAAGUGCAAUAAAAAGUCAAUUUUUAAAAACCACCCUUGGGGAAACAGGAAGGAAACAGCUUUGAGAAGCCAUUUGCUAUUACUGGGUGCCUCCAUGCAAGGUGUUGGGCUGGGUCCCUUUCAGAGCUACACUGCUACAACUGAAAACACUUCUCAUUUCAGCUUGCACCAGAGCAAUCAAGAACACUCCAGAAUUACCCCUCACCUUGCUAGCACAUAACACAACAAGGUGCUUUUCAGACAAACAUGUCCUGGCUUAUGCAAUAUUUCCUUGAAAAACACCACAAAACUAGUGCUAGCUGCCAGGCUCAGUGUCUGAAGUGCUUGGCUUAAACUCCUCUGGACUGGAUGUUUCUCCAUGCUGGCUACUGCAGGAAUUGUAUCUACUUACACAUGAAGAGGAAAAUAAUUCCUCCAGAACAGUCCCUGCUUCUUCACCAAGCAGAUGUAGCACACGCAUAACUUAACCCAUUUCGAAGUCAUCUGCUUGCCUUCAUCAUCAACAGUAAGAGACUCUGAACCUUUCAGUUAUCCUGUGAGGAUUCUUUGUCCAUUCUGCAGCUUUUUAAUCACUUGAUUCAACUAAGGCAGGAGGUGACUUCUCAAAAUGGCACCAAAUUAAUUAUAAAGUAGAUGGAAGAAACAAGACAACACUGGACUAGAAAGUUAUUUGAAAGGAAAGUAUUAAGACUUUAUUCCAGAGAUUUAGUAACAAGGUUGGUUGGUUGUUUUUUUUUUUUUUUUUAAAUACGUUAAAACUGGUAAUUCAUAAACUAAGUAUUCUGUGAAGCUUUGAGGCCCAAGCUAAACGUAUACACACUUUUAGGAGGUUGUUUUUUGUUUAAAUUUUUCUGACCCAUCAUCCUAGACAGUUUUAUUCCUUAUCAUUAGUCKGAGGUAUACGAACAAUUUCCCUACAUCAAUGUAUGAAUACUGCACUAGUCAGCAUUGUUUUGCUUGAAAUUAACUUGUUUAAAAAAGUGUUUCUAUUUUCCAGUUUUAUAGGAGAAAUGCAAUUUCUCCUGCAUAUGAACUUAAAUAGCAUGAUUUAUAUGCUCCUGCAAGACAAAAAGUGUAGGAAAAGUUUUGAAAGCACAGUUAUUUCCCAACAAACACAAGUGUGSUAUUGAACAUUAAAAUGAAGGAGAACAUACCUGAAGAGUUUUGGAUCAAUGAGAGAUGUAAAGAGUGAAUACUGACAACUGGCAAUCCCCAUGUGGGGAAUGUGGGAAGAAAAGAAAGCCACUACAUACACACAUACAGGAGGACGCAGGAAGGGAAUGAGUCUGGUGGGGCUUUUUACAAAUGUUAAAAAAUUUCACUGAUAAAAAUUAAUCCUGAAGGACAACAAAGCAGACUGUGACAACCYGUAGAUCCUUGGCAUGGAGAGAGUGGCCUGACUGCUCCACAGACAAUGCCACUGUCCUGCUCUGCCUCUGCACAGAACUCCUCGGUGCCCAGGUGGAUGAUUCUGUCCCUGAACUAGCCAAAACACAGUUUUGUGAACCUCCACACACAAGGCUUCUUUUGCCAAGUUUAUUUCUAGUAGUCCAUAACUGCCAUAGGCAUGGACAUGAGCUCAGUGACGUGUGGGCAGCAGCUUUGCUGACUCGAGUAUCUUUAAGGCCUUUUAUCCAUCUCAGCCUGGCUGAGUGCUGAAGUUUGGCAAUUUUGCAUGCCUUACCGAGUGCAUACACAGCCAUAAUGUGGUUGUUGCACUCACCAAGCUGUGAGCUCUCACAUAAACCAGCCCUCAAGGCACUGGCUGAGCCACUGCCAUCUCCUGCCCAGGGAAGUGCCACCAAGACCAAAGCAAACCAUUCAGCAGCUCCCUUGCACCAACUCAAUCAGGGAGGAAUGAACCACUUUUAGGAAACACAAAAUAAGUAACUAGAAAAUUAAACACAGAUGUUACCAAAGAAAACCACUAAAAAGCCACUAAAGGUAAAAAGGAGUGAAAGGUGUUUCCCAGGGAGUGAGGGCCAGGGUAUCACCUCCAGCCUUGGUGUAAUGGCCUUGUUCCUGCAAGGUGUUUUCAACAGAAGGAAACCAGCUCUGUCUGCCCACAGGAUUUAUUGCUGCUUUACAACGAAAUCUAUUUGGCCUCAAAGUGAUCACAACAUCACUAGCAGGGAAAGGAAAAACCAGACACACAUCACGUCACGAAGUAUUGCCAACUUCAACUUUAAUAAUGGAACCAUCAAUUUUUUUUGCCAUUUCAGUAAUAACUUUCAGGGGAAUAAAAACUUCCCUACAAAAAUAAAACUAAGCUUGUUAAAAUUAUAAAUAGUUUAAAUGUUUGUAUUUAAAGACAUACAUUUUAAUGUUUCCCUGCAAUACCCCUCCCUCAUCAUUUAAUCAUUCUGGUACCAUCAUAUAAUGACAAGAAAACAGUUUUGCAACAAAAGCUUUGACAGUUCAAUUUGAUGCCAAAAUUAAGAAAAGAUAAAACUGACCAGGCAUGACCAUUUCUUUUAAAUUAAAGCUGCUGUAAUUGCCAGUGUGUAGAACAAAAAAAGAAAAAAAUUAACUCCACACAUGACAUCUUACAAUAAUUAACUGUGGACUAAGACAAAAUUAAAAUAUAAGUUUAUUUUGGUCCCCCACCCCCAUCCCCUUCACCCCAAAUCAAGACUCAUAGUGCAUACAACACUGAGGUUUUUGGCUAAAGUAAAUGCAGAUGUGCCUACUUUAAAAGACCGGUAGUUUAGUUCAAGUAAAACCAAAAUUCACAUAUUUUCAUACUCAACUUUAAAACUCAAACAGUGUUCAAAUCUGAGCAACAAAAUGUUUCAAUAAUGACAGCGAUUAUGCAAUUAUUAUGUAGCUAUGGGCAGAUAUAUAAAUUACAGAUGUUAACAGAAUACCCACCAACAUGCUGCUGCAUUCCUAGAAAAACAAAUUGUAACAAAACACAAAAGCAUUCCCUGAACCA